AACAGGAUUAGAUACCCUGGUAGUCCACGCCCUAAACGAUGUCUACUAGUUGUCGGGACUUAAUUGUCUUGGUAACGCAGCUAACGCGUGAAGUAGACCGCCUGGGGAGUACGGUCGCAAGAUUAAAACUCAAAGGAAUUGACGGGGACCCGCACAAGCGGUGGAUGAUGUGGAUUAAUUCGAUGCAACGCGAAAAACCUUACCUACCCUUGACAUGGCAGGAAUCCUGAAGAGAUUUAGGAGUGCUCGCAAGAGAACCUGCACACAGGUGCUGCAUGGCUGUCGUCAGCUCGUGUCGUGAGAUGUUGGGUUAAGUCCCGCAACGAGCGCAACCCUUGUCAUUAGUUGCUACGAAAGGGCACUCUAAUGAGACUGCCGGUGAUAAACCGGAGGAAGGUGGGGAUGACGUCAAGUCCUCAUGGCCCUUAUGGGUAGGGCUUCACACGUCAUACAAUGGUACAUACAGAGGGCUGCCAACCCGCGAGGGGGAGCUAAUCCCAGAAAGUGUAUCGUAGUCCGGAUUGUAGUCUGCAACUCGACUACAUGAAGUUGGAAUCGCUAGUAAUCGCGGAUCAGCAUGUCGCGGUGAAUACGUUCCCGGGUCUUGUACACACCGCCCGUCACACCAUGGGAGCGGGUUCUGCCAGAAGUAGGUAGCUUAACCGUAAGGAGGGCGCUUACCACGGCAGGGUUCGUGACUGGGGUGAAGUCGUAACAAGGUAACC
rnacentral:rRNA from 1 species